GCGAUAAUAGUCCAGCGGCAGGACAGUGGCUUCCCAAGCCUCUAACCCGGGUUCGAUCCCCGGUUAUCGCA
rfam:Methanoplanus limicola DSM 2279 chromosome, whole genome shotgun sequence.